rnacentral:lncRNA from 1 species
GACUCUUGCUCUGUUGCCCAGGCUGGAGUGCAGUGGUAGGAUCUCGGCUCACUGCAACCUCCACCUCCCGGGUUCAAGUGAUUCUCAUGCCUUGGCCUGCUGAGUAGCUGGGACUACAGGAUCACUUGAGCCCAGGAGGUCAAGGAUGCAGUGAGCCAUGAUCAUGCCACUGCACUCCAGCCUGGGUGACACAGCAAGACCCUGUUUAGAGAAAAAAAAGAAGGAGGAAAUCCUGCCACUUGCGACCACAUGGAUGAACCUGGAGGACAUUAUGCUAAGUGAAAUAAGCCAGACACAGAAAGACUAAUACUGUGUGAUCUCACUUGUAUGUGGAAUCUAAAAAAGUCAAACUCAUGGAAGCAGAGAAUAGGCUGGGCAUAGUGCCUCACGCCUGUAAUCUCAGCACUUUGGGAGGCCAAAGUGGGAGGAUCACUUGGGACCAGGAAUUUGAGGCCAGCCUGGGCAAAAGAGCAAGACCCUAUCUCUACAAAAAAUUUUUUAAAAGAAAAAAUUAGCAGGGCAUGUCCCUGCAGUCUCAGCUACUCAGGAGGCUGAGGUGGGAAGACCAUUUGAGCCCGGGAGGUCAAGGCUUCAGUGAGCCGUGAUUGCACCACUGCAUUAUGGCCUGGGCAACAGAGUGAGACCCUGUCUCAAAAAUAAAAGAACCAGAGAGCAGAAGGGUGGUUACCAGGAGUUGUGAGGGUAGGGGAAAUGGGGAGGUAUUAUUCAAAGGUCUAAACUUUUAGUCAUAAGAUGAAUAAGUUCUGGAGACCAAGUAUAUCGCAUGGUGACUAUAAUUAAUAAUAAUGUAUUAUAUUUGAAAUUUGCUGAGAGAACUUAAGUAUUCUCACUAUAAGAAACAAAAAAAAAGGUAGCUAUGUGAGGUGAUGGAUCCUUUAAUUAGCUUGAUUGUGGUAAUUAUUUCACAAUGUAUACAUAUAUAAAAACAUCAUGUUGUACAUCUUGAAUAUAUUCAAUUUUCAUUAGUGAAUUAUACCUCCACAAAGCUGAAAAAGGGGGAAAAAAGAAAAAUGCAUGAUGGAUUCUGUUUAUUCUGUUUGAAUAAAAGUUAUCACAACAUGAAUUACUUAAGAUGGAAAAACAUAACAGUUCAAAUUAUAAGAAAUCACACUGAAACCAAUCAACAUCAUAUUUUUAAAUAGGAUACUAAGGCAGUGAUUCUCACCUUACAUACAACUUUAAAAAUCCAGUUCCUCAGCAACUAUUCCGGAAGUAAUGAAUCUGGAAAUCUGAGGGUGGGGUCAUGAGCACAUGUUUUCUUUAAAGUUUCAAAGUUGAUUCUGAUGUCCUGCCAAGAGUUGAGAAGCCUGGCCCUACAGUAGAG